rnacentral:rRNA from 1 species
UUGGUGACCAGCGGAGGGAUCAUUACCGAGUUUACAACUCCCAAACCCAAUGUGAACCAUACCAAACUGUUGCCUCGGCGGGGUCACGCCCCGGGUGCGUCGCAGCCCCGGAACCAGGCGCCCGCCGGAGGGACCAACCAAACUCUUUACUGUAGUCCCCUCGCGGACGUUAUUUCUUACAGCUCUGAGCAAAAAAUUCAAAAUGAAUCAAAACUUUCAACAACGGAUCUCUUGGUUCUGGCAUCGAUGAAGAACGCAGCGAAAUGCGAUAAGUAAUGUGAAUUGCAGAAUUCAGUGAAUCAUCGAAUCUUUGAACGCACAUUGCGCCCGCCAGUAUUCUGGCGGGCAUGCCUGUCCGAGCGUCAUUUCAACCCUCGAACCCCUCCGGGGGGUCGGCGUUGGGGAUCGGGAACCCCUCAGACGGGAUCCCGGCCCCGAAAUACAGUGGCGGUCUCGCCGCAGCCUCUCCUGCGCAGUAGUUUGCACAACUCGCACCGGGAGCGCGGCGCGUCCACGUCCGUAAAACACCCAACUUUCUGAAAUGUUGACCUCGGAUCAGGUAGGAAUACCCGCUGAACUUAAGCAUAUCAAUAA